rnacentral:rRNA from 1 species
CAAUAGCGUAUAUUAAAGUUGUUGCAGUUAAAAAGCUCGUAGUUGGAUUUGUGGCGUACGGUGUGUUCCGGGCACUUGUUGUCUGAGUAACCUGCUGUUGCCAUCCUUGGGUGGAACCUGUGUGGCAUUAGGUUGUCGUGCAGGGGAUGCCCAUCAUUUACUGCGAAAAAAUUAGAGUGUUCAAAGCAGGCUUAUGCCGUUGAAUAUAUUAGCAUGGAAUAAUGAGAUAGGACUUUUUUGCUAUUUUGUUGGUUUGCGCAAGAAGGUAAUGAUUAAUAGGGACAGUUGGGGGUAUUCGUAUUCCAUUGUCAGAGGUGAAAUUCUUGGAUUUUUGGAAGACGAACUACUGCGAAAGCAUUUACCAAGGAUGUUUUCAUUAA